UGUUAAGCUGUUCUGCUUUAAAAUAUACACUUAAUUUUUUUUUACAAUUAUUAUUUUUUUUUACAAUAAAAUAAAACAUUCCAUUAAACAAUCAUGCCUUCAGACUGCGAGGAGAGAGAGAGAGAGAGAGAGAGAGAGAGAGAGAGAGAGAGAGAGAGAGAGAGAGAGAGAGAACAGUGAGUAUUAUGGAGAGGGAGAGGAAACAUAGGGAGCGAGUGAGAUAGGGAGAGACCCAGUGAUGGAAAAGCACCAGAGGAAAUGUCUUCCGCCAAUCAAAGGAAACAGUGAGGUCAGUUAUUGUGAUUGUGGGAGAAAUGGGAUAUGUCUCAAGACAAACAACAUAAUAAACAUGGUUUUAGAUUAGGAAAAAUGUAUUUUUAUCAGGGCAACCAUUUUAAAUUCUUUGUGACUUUAAUAGGACCAUAAAAUGGACAUUUGCAAUUCAGCUACAGGAAAUUUCAAAGCCUAUGCACUCAACAGUGAGUGGAUAAUAAAACAGUGAACUCGACAGAAUCCCUUUCAUGAUCCUCAAAGACCUCAUCACAAGGGAGAACACCCACACACAAAUCUGAAAUUCAGAACAUUAAAAUAGGUUAUAGAAUUCUCACAGAAGUGAUAGAAGCACAGCCCACAAAGCGGAAUGCUCUUAAUGUGGAAUAUCCAGAGAAGAUGUCAGAGAGAGGAAUGUUCAAACAGGAUGACCUGUGAGUGGCUGAGGCUGGACAGCCUGGGUGGUCUGAACGCUCCGAUCCGAGAGUACACCUCUGCAUCCGAGCUGGCGCCCCAGGACUGGUGAGGGCUAGGUGGGGUGGUGUGGAUAAUGGGCAGGGGCAGAGGGAGAGAGAGUGAGGAAGAGAGUGGGAGAAGGGGUGGAGGCAGUAGAGGAGGGGAAGAGUGGGUGGUGGGGAGACCGGUGGAGGUGGUACUGGGGUGACAACAAUAGGGGCCACAGAGUUGGCCACAGGGGUGACCUCUAUAGCAUCUCCAUUCGUGGGCAGUAUCCGGGGCAGCCUGGGGUCCUUGAGGGUGUAGGUGGCGGUGUGGUAGAAACUGUAGUACUCCAGGGCAUGUUGAGCCUGGGCCAGCCUCAGUCUGUGCCUCAGCUGGAGGAGUCUGUAGAGCAGGAUCAGUAUCAGAGCUCCAGCCACGAUCACCAGCAGCACGGCCACUCUCACAUCCAGGCUCCAGCAGCUCUGGCCUGCGCCUUGAGUGCCACAGGUCUGGGGGGAGUCAGGCUGGGGAUGGGGGUGGCCUUCCUUACUGAUAACUGUCUCCCUCAGUAAGGGUUGGAUGGAGUACAGGAGGAUGGGGUGCCUGUUCUUGGGUGCAGGCUGUGGUGGGAU
ensembl:lncRNA